CUCCUCUCCGUAACGGACACGAUACCAAAGGGUGCCACGCUCCUGUAAAAUCUGCCACCACCACUUACCCAAAAGAGCUAAAUUAAACUCCCUCAAUCUCCUCACCCCCAAUCCGCCUUCCUCCUUACGCGAACAAACAAUCUCCCAUUUAAUCCAAGUUAUUUUCCUAAUAUCCUCACAUCCCCCCAAAAAAAUGCAUUAAAUAAAGAUUCAAGGGUAGAAAUUAUACCUGAGGGGGCUUUGAAGAAGGAAAGAAAAUAGACCGGAAUGGAGGACAUGACAGACUUAAGCAAUAUCAAACGACCACCCAUAGACAGAUUACGACUUUUCCAAUCGG
rnacentral:lncRNA from 1 species